rnacentral:rRNA from 1 species
UACGUAGGGUGCGAGCGUUAUUCGGAAUUACUGGGCGUAAAGCGUGCGCAGGCGGUUUUGUAAGCCCGAUGUUAAAGCCCCGGGCUUAACCUGGGAAUGGCAUUUGGGACUGCAAGGCUUGAGUGCGGCAGAGGAGACUGGAAUUCCUGGUGUAGCAGUGAAAUGCGUAGAUAUCAGGAGGAAUACCGAUGGCGAAGGCAGGUCUCUGGGCUGACACUGACGCUCAUGCACGAAAGCGUGGGGAGCAAACAGG